rnacentral:pre_miRNA from 1 species
AUGGGGGGAAAACCUUUGUGUGGAAUGAGGUUUGAUCCAAGAUCUCUUUCCAUAUGUGGAUCAUGUGAACUUGCACCUUUGCAUGUUGGCAAACCCUCUUCUAUGAAUAGAUCUCGGACCAGGCUUCAUUCCCCACACUGGUUUUCCACAAUAAAUUGAAACCCCAU